GUUAAAUGAUUUAUAUUAGCUUUUUUUAUGCUGACACUAUGAUCACUGAGCAGAGUUUAUCACUGUGUUCAGCCAUAACUCUUUUAAGUGUUUACUUUGCUCCAGAGACAGUCCCUCUCUAAAGCCCAGGAGUGCGUGCAAGUGUAUGCUAAAUAUAAUGUCUAAUAAGAUGAAGUAAAUACUGUAUAUUUAGUUAAAACAGAAGUGGUGGUAUGAUUCUGUAACUUCAGACACUGCUUCUUUUAUUUUAUUUUAUAGUUCCUUUAAAUUAUCUUGUCAUCCCUGAAAUCUUCUGUGUUAAAUGAUAUCUGUUUGAUAGCUACAGAAGUAUUUUUAAUUAGAAGACAUCAAAGAAGAUCAGUUAGGUUUAGUGAGUAGGGUAGGCAACAACAAAACAUUCUUUUAUAUAUAUGGUUGAAUAUAUAUUUAUUCAGUUCAAACAAAUUGCAUAAAUAAGUUGGCUAACUUGCUUCUUAAUUAUUUGUAAUUGUAAUAUGUUUAAAUGAAAAUAUUAUCAUUUUCAGUGAUGGAAAAAUAUGGUGUUAUUAUCUGAUUAUCAAAUUAUUUGAUUUAUAUGUGACGAAUGGAGGAUUACUGUAUAUCUUAAGAACAAAAUGGCGACUUCAUGGUUGGCUCGACAUUAGAAAAUUAAUAAGUACCAAAAGUUUUAACCAAAAUAAUUUUUGAUUGACAAUUUUUUGCAUUUAGUAUUUUCUUUCAUGUAAAAUGAGUAAACAGAUGUCUUAUAAUAAACAAGUAGUUGGAAAAAUUACUCAAAAGAUUGAAAUAUUAAUGUAGUGUGAGAGUAAUAUAUUAGUUGAAUGUAAUAGAUUAGCAAGUUCCAUUAAUUGUCUAGAUUUAAAAUUAUUAUACAAAGUGAAUUACUGAGCUGAUAAAGAUGGAUUUAUAAAUGAAUACAGGUUUGUGGUUAAAACUACACUAAGAUGCUUCAUUAUUCAUUCAUUUGAAAGGUAGUUGAAUAAUAACCAAUGAAAUGAAGUGAGAUAGUAACAGAACAGCUAAUUUGUAAACUAUGGUUUCAUUUUGAAAACCUGCUUAAGUUAAUUUAAAACACUUCAUUUUUAACUUUGGUAAUUUUGGUUUAAGUAUAUUUUUAGGGGGCUAAUAUCCAAGAAAUGUUUUUAAUAAAAAAAAAUUAUGCUUAAUAGUAUAUGAACAUAUGACUGCUAAUGUGUAGGAGAACUGCUGGUUUGAAGCCUUCUUGAUUUUAAUAUUUACUACAAAAAUUUUGUUUUUGCCUUAAUCUAUGGAAUAAUGUAUUAAGUAUGGUCCAAAAAUUGUACUUCAUUGCUAUUUAUUAAAAAAAAUGUUCCAAUAAAGUUUCAUAAGUAUGUUAAUUUGCUUACUAUAAAUCAUUGUGCCAUUGCUAUUGCUACCCACACAAACUAGCUAAUGAAGUCCAAGAUGAUAAAGAACAACAGUUUUAACUCUUGUUGCUGUGACAUGAGUUUGAACAAAAUUACUAGUGACACUUUCCAGCAUCUGAUAUGUUUUAUGGUCUGAUUUACCACUUUUUUUACAAUAAUCUUUAUCUGUACAAGUUUUGCAAACAUUUGUUAUAUACAUUAUUUUGUCCGAGAUGGCUUAUCUUCAAAUUGAUUUUAUUUUGAUAACGUUAUUUGUAGGUAGCUUUUGAAUCUGGCUUUUGUAUUGCUUAGCUCUUUUUCAUGGUUCCCUCAGGUCAGGGAAACCAGGAAAAGCAUGUAUAUAUACAUAAUUUUGCUCUUCUGGGGCUUAGAAAAACCGUUGAAUUUCAUUUCAGUAAUGCACAACUGGAAAAAAGAAUACCAUGUUUCAAACUUUUAUUGGAAUUUCACCAGCACUCAUCAAAUCUUUAAUUGGCUGCACUUGAAUUGGAAACAUGGUCCUCAGUUAAUACCUGGAAAUACAAGGCAUAACUGGUUCACCAGUGUUUUUGAAAUCAUCCAUGUAAAUGUUGCAAAGAAAAGAUCAUAGAGGAUUUCUUUAGUAUAAUUCCUGGUGUGGUGGUAUAAGAAGAAAAAAAGAUUUCAGGACAAAAUUAUGAAAAAAAUAGUGAACACAGUCCUCUCCCGUUCUUCAUUGGCAUGGAGUACCAAAUGCACUUGGCAUGCAAGAGAAAGUAUGAGGAAUCAAAGGAGUCAAGUCCUGUAAAAACCAGAGUAUCCAGUUCAGAAAUUAAGCAGAAAGAACAGACAGAUUUGUGUAUCUUUUGUGAUGUAGCUGGUUCUACUGGCCUUCAUGAGGCAUCAACAGUCGAUAUUGAUUUUUAAGUAUGGAAGUGUGCAAAAGAACUCAAUGACACAAAUUAUUGGCAAAACUUGCAGAUGGUGAUAGGGUGGCAAUCGAUGCCCAAUACAACACAUUAUGUUUCGCUAAGCUAUACAAAUGUGCACAACAGAUAGGCAGACAUACAGCACCUAAUUCAAGUGAAAGUUCUCUACAUGGUAUAGCCUUUGCUGAGCUAGUUUCACACAUUGAAAAAUUUUGAGAUUCAACAAAAGCAAAAGUGGUAUUCAGUAUGGCAGAUCUAAGGAGACUAUACUCUUCAAGGUUACAGGAACUUGGUGUCCAGGCAGUACAGGUGCACACCACAAGGGUAAAGAAUUGAAUAUCGGCAGCAAUUCCAGACUUAAGAGCCCACAAUGAAGGCAGAAAGGUCCUACAAGCAAUUUGAUCAAGGCAUUGGAGCAGCAUUUUUGCAGGAUUUUGAUUCUGAAAUGUUAAUGCUAGCAAUAGCAGCAAAGAUUAUCCGUCAAGAUGUACAGUUGACUCCCCCCAUUCACAUCCUAGUUAUGUUCUUAAGAAGUGUAUUGUUAUUGGAAAUGACAUUAUUGGGGGUCCAAUUCUCCAUUGUUAUAGUGGUAUAAGUUGUAGUUUUGUUCCAGCAGCAUUAUUUAGUAUAGUAAAUAUGACAAAAGGCAAAUUAUACAACAAAGUAUAAUACAAUAAUAACAAUUAAAGAAUAUGUACCAUAGUACAAUAUUGAAAAGUUGAGCUGGCAGUGGUUUAUUGGGGAGAAGGUGGAACUGGAUCAUCUACUUCCUCUUCUUCUUAAAAAACUGAGUUAUUUGUGUCUUGCCUGCUUCUUUUUCUCUCUAUAAAAUUCCUGGUAGCCUGAUAGAGCUGCCUCAACUUGCCUCCUUAAGGUAUUGCUCUGCUUGCAGUUAGGGUCAUUCUUGGCCCAGAUUGCAAAACCAUUAAUUUUGCAAAAAGCCUAUGACAUGUUCUUGCAUGUCAACUCAACAACUUGUUUUACCUCCUCUGGUUGCUUGUCUUCUGCUGCAUCUUCCAUAAAUUGUUGCUGAUCUAAUUCUUUUAAGUCUUCAUUGGACAGACCUUGUCCAUGCUAUUGAAGCAACUCCUCUACGUCUUCAUCUUCCACUCCCUCCAGUCCUGAAUUAUGGGCAAGUUUGACAAUUUCUUCAUGGACUGCUGGUAUUUCUUCUUUGAAAUCCUCAAAGUCAUAAAAGCAUUCUGGCCAUUUCUUCCUCCAGGCAUGGUCAAUGUUGUUAAUUCCUUCAUGAUACUAUAUGAAUGCCAGAAAUCCCUGUUUGCAAGGUUCUCAUUAGUAGAUAUCUCAUAAAAUAGCUGAUGAAAGAUACAAUGUAGAUAAUACACCUUAAACUUUGCUAUGACCCCUGAUCCAUUGGCUGAAUGAGCGAUAUUGUGUUUGGAGGCAAAAACUGGUUCUGGACCGGAAUGCAAGUUGCCAAAUUGUCCAAAUGAGAAAGGUGACCCAGAGCAUUAUCUAGGAGAAGGCCAUUUUCCUAGUUUUUUUUUCAAUGCAGUGUUUCUCCACUGCUGGGCAAAAGUAGGAGACUAACCAAUCUUGAAAAGCAUCAGUUGUCACCUGAAUUUUGCAAUUGGAACACCAAAAAACUGGUAGGUGUGGCUUUGAGAAUCCUUUCUUAGCUUGUUGUGUUUCUGAAUGUACACCAGCAUUGGUUUCAGUUUGAAGUCUCCUGCUGCAUUACCAUCAAGUUACAGGGUAAGCCAAUCUUUUGUGGCCUUAAGUUCUGGAGCAAUCUUCUCCUCCCCAGAAAUAAACAUACAGGAUGGCAUCCAUUUCCAAAAUAGCCCCGUUUCAUCUGUAUUGAAAAAUAAUUCAGGGGAUAUCUGUCACUUUCUGUGAUCUCCUUUAACUUAUCUGGAAAUUCCAAAGCAGCUUGGUGAUUGGCACUAGCAGCCUUGCCUGUUAUUUUGAUGUUAUGUAGAUUUUUUUUUGCCUAAAAUAGCCAAAUCAACCUUUAUUAAAGUAAAAAUCCCUGCUGUUGAGCUUUCACCUUUCUUCUCACGCAAUUCCUCAUACAAUUUAAUUGUGUAUUGAUUUUAAUGUUGUUUAUUUAUUAUUUAAACAAUAAACCUAUUUCAAUUUAGUGUCAUUCAAAUUUGUAUAGCAUACUAAGUAAAUACUGAAGAUAAAAAGAAAUUAAAAUAUACAUUUGUGGUAAUCAGACAGAAAAUAAAUUUUGCCACAUUUGAAAAAAAACAAUUCUUACCUACAUUUCUCAUUUAUAUUUAGUGUUUUAACAGAUUCUACUGAUGGUUUUACAUAGGCUUGAUGGUUUCACAUGAAAAAAUAUAUACUACUGUAAAAUGUAGUCUUUGCUUAUUAGAUCAUCAGAAGCUUGUAUAAAUAUGUUUUUGAUGAAUCCCAUUUUCAGAAAAUGCCUGCUAUCACAUUAGAAUCCAUGUCUUACCAUAGCAACCAACCAUUAACAACAAAUUUAGUACAAAAAUGCCAUCCAUAAGUUAAAAUAAACUGCCUGCGAUAAAACUUCAUAUAAUAGUCACCAUUUGCAUUAUUCAGUGUUGGCUAUCCAUUGAACACAUAUCUUGCCAUUUUCUCAACUUUAUGCAAGAAAAUGUCACUUGUGUACAUUCACAGUAUAUUACAGUUUGUCUGUCUCAUGAUUUUAUGCCCCCAUAAACAAUAGAUUAUUAGUUACCAGUAGAGAGGGUUUCCUUUGAAGUGAUACCAUGAAUUGCAUCAGAUUGCCACUGAUUUGCCUGAAUGUGAACAAAGUCUUGAAUUAUUGUGCUGAUGUGAUAUCAUUGAUAUUUAGUGUGUGAGUUUCCAUUACUGAUGCACCAGCUGAAGGUUCGUGAGGGUCAUUGAUAAAUCCAACAAUAUAUAUUACAUACAGGGGAUAAUUUUGUUAUAGUUUAAUUUUUAUUGUUUAAGAAUUGUUUUAAAAUAUUAAAAGUUUGAUUCAGAUUAUAAUCGUUAUUCAAUUUCUGGUUUUACAGGACAUAACAGAAAUGAAUUUUUAACAGAAGCUGUAUCCAGAAUGAACAACAAAAUUAAAAGAUUGGUUUACAUAAUAUUCAACAUGGAAAAAAAAUUGUAUACUCUUUUUUAUCAUAAAUUCACUGUAAAUUGCAGUAUACUAUUUUUUUUACACAGUUUUUCAGAAGUUGCUCCUAGUUUGACCCCAUCUCUCUCUUUCCCCCUCAGGCUAACUCUGAAUUAGGUUCUACAUUUGUUUUUGAACAUAAUUCUUCUCCAAUAGCCAAUGCUCUUUUCUUUCCUCUGCAGCAAACCACAGCUUCUCAUCCUGUGAUGGAGUUGCUUUGUUCUCUGACAUCUCCAUCAGUAACUCGUCCUUUGGUCAGUACCUCAGUUUUUGCCUUAUCACAACUGUUGUAUUUUCUAAUAAGAUAUUCAUAUGCAGGUGAGUUUUCUGGAAAUGGCAAUGAGAAUGAAAAUAUUACAUGAAAUUUUAUGGUUACUUUCAUAAUAAUGUUUCUUUUGCUGGUUUCAAUAAGUAGUAUGGUUUUUUAUGCCCCCAUUGGGAAGUAUCGCAUGGCAGGACAUAUUGGUAUGAGUCUGUCCGCCCGUCCUAAUCUUGUGAACCUAUUAUACCUUAUGAUUAGAUGGAUGGAUUUUGACAAAAUUAUACAAGAGAUAUUAAAUACAAAGUUCUAUACCCAAUUAACUUUUAAAGAUACUGGUACAUAGAAAUCUUCCCCAAUCUUAUGGACAUGAUAUUUCAAUAGAGGUUGAAUGGAUAUUGACUAAACUUACACAACGGGCACUGCAUACAAUGUUGUAGAUCUUAUUAAUUUUUGAAGGCCAUGUGUCAAGCGAUUACUGAUACAUAGAAAAUCCACCCUAAUCUUAUGGACAGGAACUACAUUAUGAAAUUGGGAGUGGGGACCUAAACAUACAGUACAUUAGUGGGGGCGUAGGUGUUUCAUAAACACAAUUCACACUUGUUAUUAGUUGGUGUUCGAAUUUAGCGACAGAUGCACCUUAUUUCAAUAGGGAAUGAGCAUUUUAUUACUCACGUUGCAGUGUUUGUUCAGUUAAUCAUAACCGCAAUACCCAAGUAUUUUAUCUGUCUACAGUGAAAGCAUUAAUGUUGCAGUGCAUACAAAAUUCAAACGUUAGGAUCCAAUUUCUUUGCAAUAAAAAAAGCCAUUAAAUAAAAUGGAAACAUUUGCACUGAGAUUAAUUAUUAGUUUUAUUUUGUAGCAUUAGUAAUAUAUAUAGAUUAUUCGUACAAGAAAUCAAACAUCACAGUUGUUGAAGUUCAACAUAUAAAUUGACUUUACUAACAUUUGUUAAAUCUUACUUCAUCACUUAGUUUCUUGUGAAUCAGUGGGAAUAAAAUGAUCUAAACCCUAAAGUAUGCCAAAAUGAAAAAAUACAUGCUGCAGAGGUGUUCACUGUAUGGGGAGCCUUAAAAUGACUUUGAACACCCAGAGGCAAAGUGAACAAUUAGCAUCAUAACACUGAAAAAAAUUAGCAUGAAUUAUCCCACUCAAAAAUAAUUUUUGAGUUUGCAUAGUAUGUAUAUACGUAUUCAAGUUUAGGAAAACGAAUUACACAUUCAAACAUCUUUUGUAAUGUUAAUUUUGAACCAUUCUUUCAUUGAACGUUAUUAGAACAUCUCGUAACACUAAAGCGAGGGUUUUGAUGAUACUUUCGACUGGACAUCAUCCAGCUCAGGAAGAGCAAAGUGUCUUCUUCACUUUAGGACUGGUGGGACACAGGCAGAUGAACUUUCUGCUCUUUGCCAAGCAAAUUAGGUAAGGUUAUUGAUACCAUAUGAUGGAUCAGUAGGUACAGGAUAACUAACAACAACCAGUAGGAGCUGUAUCUGCAGCUCCAGAAAACUAAUAAAGCCUAAGACUGGCCUGGCCACUGGCUUGGAGGAGUACAGUGGACUGUUUGCACCAAGGUGUUCAGUGGUGUGCCCAGCUUUUUCAGAGCUGGGUGGAGCUUGUUACUUACUUUGUUGGGAUACAAGAGUGAGAGUUUGAAUUACACAGUAACAGUCAGAAUACUGCUAAACCUCACAAUAUAUAUCAAGCUAUCCAAGUAAGACCAUUAUUCCAGCCAGUUAUACUGACCUUGUUCUUGCAAUAGACUAUAUAUUAUAUGAAAAGUAAAUAUUUGACUUUAUCUAGGAAAUGUCACUCACAAAAUGAUGAUAGUUGUCUCAGAUCUGGUAUUGGUAUCCUCAUAAUGGAGUACUGCUAGAAUUAACGAUCACUUUCAUGUGCAAUAGACGAGUUGAUAUUUCAGAGGAAAGUUUUAUGAUGCAGGUCAUUUGACUGCACAAAUGUAUAUAACAGAGGGAAUAACCACCUCCAUAUACACUGGUGGUAUUCUAUGGUUUAUUACUGGUGAAAUCUAGUGCAUCAUUACCAUGGUUAAAGAAGCAUCACAUGAAAUAUACUUUCCUGUCCAGAAAGAGAGCAUUAACAGUCUAAAUGUGGGUAGGUUAAGGUGAGCAUGUCACGAUUUUUUACAGGGUUACAUUCAAAAUGAAAUUAAAAUGCAUUAUUAUUAAUGUACAAGAAUAAACUCGGCAUCAAAACAUAGUUACUAAAUCAAAUUUUAAUAUUACACAAAUUUUAAGUUCUUAAUUUUAUAGUGAAAUGUCUAAAAUCCUCAAUCUCCCUUAGUAUAAGAAUCGUGACAGUUGUUCUCUAGGUCAUCUCUAAUUUUUAUACCUCCCCUCUCUGAAGUACAGAACUUAACAUAAAUUACUCAUUAUAAUAUUGAAAGUACCAAGACAAAGUGUAAUUUUUGUAGCCCUCAAUCUUAUAUGUUCAUGGAGUUUUAAACUGGAAAAAUCAGAUCCACUUGCCAUGCCACCUAUCACAUUCUUUCUUUCACAAACUGCCAAAAGUUCUCCUACUUGGUAACUGUUCAAGCUAAUUGAAAGAUGUAUAUAGUUAAAUUUCUCUGUUGUAAACUUUGUUUCAGCAACAAAGUACAGAUACAUGUAUGUAAUCAAAUUGCGUGAUCCUAACGAAAUGCAUGACAUCUUAAGGGGGGUGUUUGAUGUAGGAGGUGAGAAAGUGAGCUACAAUUGUCAUACUUUGCUUAUAGAAGAAAUUAUAGCUAUCUGACUGGUAAUAAGAGGUGGGUGAACAGAAUAGUACUAAAACUGCUUAAUUUUUUUAUUUUGUGAAGUAUUUAGAAAGGAUUAGCAACUGAUAAAACUCAAUUCAAGUCAAUAUAAGUUCAAAGUGGUCACACCCACUUUGAAGUUGCACUGUGUUAAAAAACCAUUCCUGUGCAUUUCUACCUUGUUUCCUUACUUUUUUGGUGCUCCCAUUCCUACUUCCUAAUUUUUUUUUCACUUAAAAAGUUUUACGUUUGACUCAUAGCUUCUUUUGGUACUAAAUCUUGAGAGUGACUGGGUUCUAGGCUUACCCUUCUUGUAGCUUUUGUUAGAACUAUAUCUCGACAUUUCCUGGCUUUUGCUUAUAUUUUUGCUAAAGUUUUCUUCCA